GACGGAGGAGGCAAGCAUUGUCCGGAAUUAUUGGGCGUAAAGAACACGUAGGCGGUUUAUCAAGUCAUAUGUGAAAACCUUAGGCUUAACUUAAGGAUUGCAAAUGAUACUGGUAAGCUAGAGUACAGUAGAGGAAAGUGGAAUUCCUGGUGUAGCGGUGAAAUGCGCAGAUAUCAGGAAGAACACUAGUGGCGAAAGCGGCUUUCUGGACUGUUACUGACGCUGAGGUGUGAAAGCUAGGGGAGCGAACAGGAUUAGAUACCCU
rnacentral:rRNA from 1 species